rnacentral:rRNA from 1 species
AUUGAACGCUGGCGGCAGGCCUAACACAUGCAAGUCGAACGGUAACAGAAAGCAGCUUGCUGCUUUGCUGACGAGUGGCGGACGGGUGAGUAAUGUCUGGGAAACUGCCUGAUGGAGGGGGAUAACUACUGGAAACGGUAGCUAAUACCGCAUAACGUCGCAAGACCAAAGAGGGGGACCUUCGGGCCUCUUGCCAUCGGAUGUGCCCAGAUGGGAUUAGCUAGUAGGUGGGGUAACGGCUCACCUAGGCGACGAUCCCUAGCUGGUCUGAGAGGAUGACCAGCCACACUGGAACUGAGACACGGUCCAGACUCCUACGGGAGGCAGCAGUGGGGAAUAUUGCACAAUGGGCGCAAGCCUGAUGCAGCCAUGCCGCGUGUAUGAAGAAGGCCUUCGGGUUGUAAAGUACUUUCAGCGGGGAGGAAGGGAGUAAAGUUAAUACCUUUGCUCAUUGGCGUUACCCGCAGAAGAAGCACCGGCUAACUCCGUG